rnacentral:rRNA from 1 species
GACGAACGCUGGCGGCGUGCCUAAUACAUGCAAGUAGAACGCUGAAGAGAGGAGCUUGCUCUUCUUGGAUGAGUUGCGAACGGGUGAGUAACGCGUAGGUAACCUGCCUUGUAGCGGGGGAUAACUAUUGGAAACGAUAGCUAAUACCGCAUAACAAUGGAUGACACAUGUCAUUUAUUUGAAAGGGGCAAUUGCUCCACUACAAGAUGGGCCUGCGUUGUAUUAGCUAGUAGGUGAGGUAAUGGCUCACCUAGGCGACGAUACAUAGCCGACCUGAGAGGGUGAGCGGCCACACUGGGACUGGAACACGGCCCAGACUCCUACGGGAGGGAGCAGUAGGGAAUCUGCGGCAAUGGGGGCAACCCUGACCGAGCAACGCCGCGUGAGUGAAGAAGGUUUUCGGAUCGUAAAGCUCUGUUGUAAGUCAAGAACGGGUGUGAGAGUGGAAAGUUCACACUGUGACGGUAGCUUACCAGAAAGGGACGGCUAACUACGUG